CUACAUACAUUUCCAUGUCUUUGGAAUUUGGAACCAUGUAUUAUUACCUAUUGAAAACAAGGAAAUAAAAUAUCAAAUCUGUGAACAUACAUUGUCAACUGUGAAGAUGCCAAAUUAAUGUUUUUAAUUUGAACAAUAAGAUUAAUUUUGAUGUUAAGAACUGUAAAAAUUUUCCUUAAUCAGCUUUCAGCUGCAACAGACCGAAUUUGUUCACUUCAAGAAGAACAGCAGCAGUUAAGAGAACAAAAUGAAUUAAUUCGAGAAAGAAGUGAAAAGAGUGUAGAGAUAACAAAACAGGAUACCAAAGUUGAGCUGGAGACUUACAAGCAAACUCGGCAAGGUCUGGAUGAAAUGUACAGUGAUGUGUGGAAGCAGCUAAAAGAGGAGAAGAAAGUCCGGUUGGAACUGGAAAAAGAACUGGAGUUACAAAUUGGAAUGAAAACUGAAAUGGAAAUUGCAAUGAAGUUACUGGAAAAGGACACCCACGAGAAGCAGGACACGCUAGUUGCCCUCCGCCAGCAGCUGGAAGAAGUCAAAG
rnacentral:sRNA from 1 species